AGACUGAUUGGGGAAUGAUUGG
rnacentral:miRNA from 1 species